ACCACCCCCCUCGCGCUCUGCCGUGAGACCGUCGCGCUCCCCUCCCCGGUGGCCCUGCCCCGCGAUCCCGCCCUCCCCUGCGAUCCUCGUCGACGCCGCCGCCACCGAGAUCCCGCCCUCCCCUGCGAUCCUCGCCCACGAUCCCUGCCCUCCCUCCGUCGCAAGCCCCGCGAUCCUGCCCUCCCCUGCGAUCCUCGUCGACUCCGCCGGCGCGGCACCGAUCCGCGGUCGCCUCCUCCCACAGCCGAGCCAGAGCCUCCAAUCCCCCGAGUGCGACCCUGACGUCGUGGACGGCGAUCUGCUGGAAGCUCUGAUCCAGUCCCGCAAUCAUUUGCCGUCGCCGUCGCGGCCUCCUCCAAGCAACCAUCGUCGCACCCACGGAGCCGACGAGCUCGGGGCCGCUGGCGCUGCAAAAUCUCGACACCGUCGCCUCUCUCGAGCAGACACGUCGCGUCCGGCAAUCUGCUGGAAGCCCUGACCCAGGUAUACCCUCGAUCAGAUCACUAUCAGCUGUGCCUGUGAAUCUGUGAUCCACGUAAUGCUUUGGAAAUAUCUUGCUCGUGCGCCAUGGUUUGUUACUCUCUCAUCCAGUUAGUUCAACUGGUAACUAUAAGGAACAGGUUAUUGUGUGGAGACAUGUACUUCCUGGAUAGUGAAGCUUCGUAAAAUCUUGUGUACCUCACAGUGUUUUUUUUUUAAAAAAAAAGCUUACUAUAAGUCUAUAAGUUCUGUUCUUCACUUAAGUUCUUCAAUUGCAUGGCUGGCGUAUCUUGUAGACAGUUUACGGUCUAUCUUGCUUUACAGUUUAGAAUAUUCAGGUUAGCCAAAAGAAUAAUUUGAAAUCUUGGUACACUGAAAGGUGUCCCUUUCUAAGUAUUACCGACUGCGUAUACCCAUGUCAAACAAUUAAGCAUUAUAUGGCAGUUCAGAAUAUUCAGGUUAGCCAAAAGAAUGUCGAACAAUUAAGCAUUAUAUGGUUCUGUGAACUAUAAUUUACCGAGAAAUCAUUAUAUCAAAUAGCUUGGCUUGCAAAACUGAGAUAUGGCACAUAUGUCACUACAGAUGCUUUGAAGUAUGCAUUUUGGAUUUAUGCGAAACAGCUCCACUAAUGUUUCUCUUGUCCAUUUUUAAUUCCUUAUCAGCAUAUCCCCAAACACACAUAAGUUGGCGAUGAGAUGGAUGUCUGAACUAAUCGAAUUAAAGCAACCAAAACCUCUGAAGCUUAUUUUAUCUUUUUUAUCUUAACAAAUAGGGAAAAAAUAUCUUGUCCCAUCUGAUGUUGCUGGUAGAAUUUGUUUGUCUACCAUGGCCCUAUUUGGAGAAAUAGCCGAGGGUUAUUUUGAGGUCUAAAGUUUAGCUCAACAAAAUAACCCUUCAAUAAAAUAGCUCAUGAGGUGUUUGGAUGCAAGAGCUAUUUGGCUCAUAAAACACUUCUCCAAUCAUUAGGCUGUCACUUUUCCAAGAGAGAGUGAGAUAAUCAGUGAGCCCCACACAAAAUAGCCCCAAAUUGCACCCCUUGGGGGGAUAAUUUUUGGGGUGGUCUAUUUGCAAAUAGCUCAGAAAUAGCACUUCUGUUUGGCUCUCCUUGGACUAUUUGGGGUUAUUUGGGAGUGAGCUAAAAAAUAACCAUGGAUGCAAACAGGACUCAUGCAUAUCUAAAUGGUGAGAUUGAAUGUAUGCACAACAAUUAUUUCUUUCAAUAUAAUAUUAUUGAAUUUUUGAAUAUAUUUGUUCUAAGUGUAAAUAAAGAUUUUUCUAUUAUAUGUUAGAAUUUUAAUUAUUACCAUAACAACAUAACUAGCCAUCAUGAUGGUUGACUCGCAUAACUAAAGUCCCGGUUAGCUUUCUGGCACUGUUUCUCUGAUAAGGAUCCUGUCCGCCUAAGGCUGAAGAAACUAGACAUCCCUAGGUCAUUCUUGUAUCGAACUGGUGCGAUGCUAGGCUUUUAUUUAUCAUAGUGCUUGGAUGAUAGGACCAGCGAUCCUACCGCUGCUGCGUAGAUUGUAGGGGUGCGAGAGAGGAGGGCGAGGCUUGGGGAGCCGCCAGCAUAUGGGCGCCAUGGCUGCGGAGGCGAGCACUGGCGGCAGCGGCGGCGUGCGAGCGUGCAUGAGGGGUGAGAGAUGAGGGUUUUGGGGUGGCCCUUGAGGCCAAGCCGAUAUUGAUACUCAACCUAAUGUUUCCAAUCUAGAGAAGAGUAUUUUAUUACUUACAAAUGAUCCAAACUCAAGGAAAGUAAAUGAAGCCUAAGGAAACAAAUAUUCGUGGCCCUCUAGCCACUUGUGCGGCGCCCUCGGCGCUGGUACGUGAUCCACGCCGGGGCUGUUGGCUGCUCCUGGGCCGGUUACUGCUCCUGGACACUAACAUCUCUUCGCUCCUCGGGAAACAGCUCAUCCUCGAGCUGAAAGUCGGGGUAGCGCUCGACGAACAACUCCUGCGGCUUCCAUGUGGCAUCAUCCGACGAUAGGCCCUGCCACUCCACCAGGAUGUGCCAGGCGCCCUGCUGAACGCGCGCUUGCCGCACCCGAACUGGAGUCAGGACCACCCGGCCAUCAUGGACAGGCAGCAGUGGCGGCGUAGUCGUCGGAGGGUCGCCGUGGAAGGGCUUCAGGAGCCCCACAUGGAACUGACUUGCAUAGCGAGGGCCGAGCUUGCCCUUGGGACGACACUCCAGCGAGUUGGUUGGCCUGUGGAGUAGGCAGAGCCAGACCCAAUCGCCCACCGCAAACUUCAGCUCGUGGUAGUGGACGUCGUAGUAGCGCUUGGCGUGUUGACAAGCAUGAAGAAGACGCUCGCGAACGUCGGCGAGGAAGGCGUCGUGGUAACGGAGGACCGUGUCAGCUGCAUCUGUUUGGGCCGCGCCGGCGGAGGCCGCCCAUAGACGACCUCAAAGGGCGUCGCCCGGAGCGUCGUGUGGUACAAAGUGUUGUAGCAGUAUUCCGCCCACGCGAGCCAGUCAACCCAAGAUCGCGGGCAGUCUCCGGUAGCGCACCGCAGGUACAUGGCCAGCACCUUGUUGAUGACCUCAGAUUGACUGUCCGUCUGAGGGUGGAAGGCUGUGCUGAAGCGGAGUUGGACGACGGCCAUCUUGAACAGGUCGCACCACAUGUGGCUGGUGAGGACCGGGUCCCGAUCGCUGGUGAUGGACGUCGGGAAGCCGUGGAGCCGAACGAUGCCGUCGAAGAAGGCGCGAGCGACCGAAGAAGCUGUGUCCUGAUGGCUUAGGGCGAUGAAGUGGGCGUACUUGGAAAACCGGUCAACCACUGUGAGGAUGACCGACUUUCUGUUGACCUUUGGGAGGCCCUCAACGAAGUCCAUCGAGAUGUCCGCCCACAUUUGUGAGGGGACCUCGAGGGGCUGUAGCAUCCCUGCUGGUUGUUGCGUCGGUGUCUUGUUGUGCUGGCACGUCGGGCAGGCGUGGAUGAACUCCUGCACCAACUUCUUGUCGUGGGGGAUGUAGAAGUCGGCGCGGAGGCAGUGCAGGGUCUUCUGGACGCCCUCAUGGCCCGCUAAAUGGACCACAGAGAGCACCCGCUGGCGGAGUUCGUGCUGAUCUGGCACGAAGAUGCACUUGCCGUGGAGGAGCAGGUCGUCAGUAGUUGUGACAUCUGGCCCAAUUUGGAUGUGGCCCGGUUGUGGCCAAUGAGUGCUGCGUGCACAUGUUUAGUACCACCUUGCUAGUUGAGUAAGGGUGGAGCCAACUUAUAAGUCUUUGCCCUCCAGCCAUAGCACAUUCGGGUUGACCCUUUUACGCGAAGCGAGGACGAAAGAAUAAGUGAGGUGCUAUGUGUAAGCGGGCUCGCCCCUUGAAAGGGCUGGGCUAUGUGGUGUUGGGGGGUGGGGGGUCAGUGUGUGGGCAUAUGGCGCAUGACGCGUGUGUGUCCGGUUAGGGACACACGACAUAGCAUAUGGCGCCGGAACUGGACGUGCGGGCGUGCGCCAAGGGGGAACGUUCCUGGACAUUUGCCCAGUGUGGGUGAGUUGGACUGACGAGGACGUCAGGUUCUUUGAGGGGGGUGUGACAUCCGACCCAAUUUGGUUGUGGCCCAUGAGUGCUGCGUGCACAUGUUUAGUACCACCUUACUAGUUGAGUAAGGGUGGAGCCAACUUAUAACCUAAGCCUUUGUCCUCCAGCCAUAGCACCUUCGGGUUGACCUUUUUACGCGAAGUGAGCACGAAAGCGUAAGUAAUGUGCUAUGUGUAAGCGGACUCGCCCCUCAAAAGGGCUGGGCUGUGCAGUGUUGGGGGGCGGGGUGUUACAGCCGAGCGCCGCGUCCUGGAGCUGCUGCAGGCGAAGGGCGGCCUCACCGUCCGCUUUGUUAUGAACAUGAGUAGGUGGCCUUUCUAUGUUUGUAGAAAUGCGAUAGCUUUGAAACUCAGUGCUUGCGAUACGGGAUCCCAAGGUGUGCUUGCCAUGUGGACAGCCACUGCCACUGUUGUUUGACUUCUCAGCAGCUGGUAAUUUCUCGAUAACACUUAACGAUGUUGUUGUUUCGUUGUACUUUUGUCUCAAAACACAUUUGGAAAGAUAAUUAAUCUCUGGCUUUCCUACAGCAACAUCAAAUCCACCACUGCACCACAAUGUUAUUUCCUCUUCUGAAACUGUGAAGGUAGCAAUCGGAUACUUUGCUUUGUAUUAUGCAGUUUUUGAAUGCUGGGAGCAUGAUUAUUUAAUUUGUGUUUCAUCUUGCUGCAAAUGUUAGAUGAUUUAAUGUUUUCAUAUACUAAAGUUUAUGGAAAUGCAUGUAUUAAAGUGUAUGGCAAUUCAUUUACUGAAGUGUAUCCCUUCUCAAUGUUUCCUAGACAUUCUUUUAUUCUAGACAUCAAAACAAAAAUUAUUGUAAUUGUAGUCCUAGAGUUUAGUUGACAAUAUACACAUGGAACUUCUUUUUAACAGAUAGGACAAUGUGUACUUGGAUGUAAUGGUGCUUACCAAGUAACUAAAUUGCUGCUGUACCCCCAAGUGGCUAAUUACAUCUCUUUGUGGUUCUUUAGUAGUUCGGAAAAUAACUAAAUUGCUGCUGUACCCCCCAAGUGGCUAAUUGCAUCUCUUUGUGGUUCUGUAUUAGUUCAGAAAAAAGCUGUCUACUUGCCAUUUUGAAAUUUUUUAGAAGAUGCAGAUGCUACUUGGUUGUGAGCAUUAAUAAUACCAAUAGUUGCCUCAAGUUGCUCAGCAUGGACCUUGGAGACUCAGGUUUGUCCAACCAUUUUCUAUCCAGGUAUGCUAUAAACUUAUUUUCUUUACCUGAAAUAUGUCUAAAAUGUAUACAAAUGCUUCUAAGCAUCCUUUAAAAUGAAAAAGAAAUCAAAACUAUUUUAAUUCUCUAGCUAAUAACUGAAAUCAGUACUACCUUGAUUCAUUGUAAGAACCGCUCAAUUUGCAUUUGGUUUAGGUGAAAUUAUCGGUCAAUUCAUUAAGAUGAGAGCUAGCACGUGUCCGUCUCUUGACACACCACGUGCUAAUAUAAUCCACAUCUAGAGUCACUUGACCAAUACAAUCAUAUAAAGCGAAGGCAAAUCUGGUAGUCCCGGUACGUGCUUGUCACGUGCUCAGGAUUGAGCACACGUACCGUUAUACAAAAAAUAUAUCACUAAUGAACCAUAAAGAUCAAUUUUAAGCAUAAAAAGAGUACAACAAAUAAUUAUUACAAAUUCAUCAUAGGAGGGUUCAAUUUUAAGUUUAAAAUUGCUUUUUAUUGUUCAUUAGUGAUAUAUCUUUUGUAUAACGGUACAUGUGCUCAAUCCUGGGCAUGUGGCAAGCAUGUACCGGGACUACUGGAUUUGCCUUCGCUUUAUGUGAUUGUAUUGGUCAAGUGACUCUAGAUGUGGAUUAGCACAUGGCAUGUCAAGAGACGGACACAUGCUAGCUCUCAUCUUAAUAAAUUGACUGAUAAUUUCACCUAAACCGAAUGCGAAUUGGGCUGUACUUACAACAUCAUUAGUUUUGGAAAAAUAUUUUAAUUGCAAGUCCUGCUCACAGUAGAGGCAAGUGGAUCUUUUGUUGCAUUCAAGUGAUCAAUUAGCUUUGCAUUAGGCCGGUUAUUAUUUUUCUGAAAUUACUAUAAUAAUUUUUAAAUUAUGAAACAGUUGGCUCAUAGCAGUUAAAUACGUUUUCUGCACCAUGACCAUGGCUAGGAACGUGGAGACUUCGUGAAAGAGGCUUAGUUCUUUGUAACAGCAAAGAGGCUUGGCGAAUUCAACUUCUCAAAUUUGUAAUGCAGUCCUAAUUUGUCUGAAAAAUGUGGCCAUUCUCUGUUUCCGGAUGUACUAGGAGACGAUGACUGACGGGGGUACGGACCGGGGCAUGCUAGUCCGCGCGCGCCCCCCAGCAGCUUUCGUGGCGCUCGAUCUCCGACAGGAGGUUUUUUUCCUUUUCAG